AGGAGUUUAUAAUGGCUAACGUUCAAUAUUAUGGAACUGGAAGAAGAAAAAGUUCUGUUGCUAGAGUAAGACUAGUUGCAGGUGAAGGAAAUAUAUUAGUAAAUGGAAGAGCAUUAGAAAAUUAUUUUAAUUAUGAGACAUUAAUAAGAGAUGUUAAACAACCAUUAGUUUUAACUGGUAAUGAAAAUAAAUAUGAUGUUAUAGUAAAAGUUGAAGGUGGAGGAUUCACUGGACAAGCUGGAGCUAUAAGACAUGGAAUAUCUAGAGCUUUAUUAAAAGCUGAUUUAGAUUUAAGACCUGCUUUAAAGAAAGAAGGUUUCUUAACUAGAGAUGCAAGAAUGAAGGAAAGAAAGAAAUACGGAUUAAAAGCAGCAAGAAGAGCUCCACAAUUCUCAAAAAGAUAAUUACUUAUUUUUUUGGAAAAGCAAAAUCCUUUAUUUACUGUUAUUCAGAAAGUAUUGGUAUUUUAAAAAUGUUGGGUUAAGUUAAUUAUUGAUAUAUAAUAAAAUAAUAAGAUAUCUUAUUAGGAUGUUUUUCAUUAAGAAGAACAUCCUUUUUAUUUUGACUAUUUAAUAAAAAACAUAUGCUAAUAACAUUUAAAUUUUAUUUUUAUAAUAUUGUAAUUUAAAAGUUUAUAUAAGGUUAUAUAUUUUAAGAUAUUAUUUAACAAUAUAAAUUCUGAAUAUACGUUAUCAAAGUUUAUAAUAUAAACUAAGUAUAAUUUAUUGUAUAGUAUUGAAUGUUAGAUAAACAUAGUGAAUUAAAUAGGGGCAGAAAUAUAAUAUCAUUACAUAAUAAUAUAUUAAUACCAAUAAAUAAAGAUAUAUCAAUAUUAAAAAAAUUUAAAUGUUUGUACUAAUAUAUGGAAUAUUAUAGUGUUUUUAUAAGUAUACAUAUACAGGGUGAUGUUGUGAGAAAGUACAUAAAACAUAUAAUUUUUAGUUUUGCAAUGAUAUGUCUAGUAGUAGUAUCCAUAUUUGAAAUUAAAAAUAUUUCUGAAGAUGUUAUCAAGUAUAUGCCAGUAACAAACAAAACUAUAAUUUUAGAUGCUGGUCAUGGAGGCAUUGAUCCAGGUGCAUUAAAUAAGGAUAAGAGUACAUCUGAAAAGGAUAUUAACCUAGCAAUAACACUUAAGCUUAGAGAGCUUAUAGAAUCAAGUGGUGGCCUUGUAAUAUUAACUCGAGAAGAUGACAGUAGCCUUUAUAAAGAAGAAAAUAAUAAAACUACAAGACAAAAAUAUAAUGAGAAUUUGAAAAAUAGAAAAGAAAUAAUAUCUAAUUCUAAUGCCAAUAUGUUUGUCUCUAUACAUCUUAAUGCAUUUGAACAAUCAAAAUACUAUGGAGCUCAAACUUUUUAUCCUAAAGACAAACAAGACAGUAAAGAAUUAUCGAAGUGUAUUCAAGAAGAACUUAAAAGAGUAGUAGAUAAGACAAACAACAGAGAAGUCAAACCAAGGGAUGAUAUAUAUCUUUUGAAAGAAAAUAAUAUUCCAUCAGUACUGAUAGAAUGUGGUUUUUUAUCAAAUGAAAAAGAGUGUAAACUCUUAACUGAUGAAACAUAUCAAGAAAAAAUAGCAUGGGCAAUCUACAUAGGAAUACAAAAAUAUUUAAGUUGAAAUAAGUAUAAAAAUAGGUCUAAAUAUGUAAAUAGCUUGUAUUAAAGCAGUUAAAAUGCAUUAAUAUAGGCUAUUUUUAUUUUGACAAAAAAAUAUUUAAAAUAAAAGUUAAAAAGUUGUUGACUUAGAAUAAUAUAGAUGAUAUUAUAUAUGAGUGCCCAAAAGGAGCACCAAAAUAAGACAAAAGAACUUUGAAAAUUAAACAGUAGGUUAAUUUAUAAACAAGAAACAAACCAUAAAGCCAGAUAUUUUGAUAACAAUAGUAUCUGAGCCUGAUAAACUUUUAUUUGAGAGUUUGAUCCUGGCUCAGGAUGAACGCUGGCGGCGUGCCUAACACAUGC
rnacentral:rRNA from 15 species